AGAGUCUCCCCUUUCCGACCGAGGCAGUUCCGGUUCGAGGUUGGAGCCGGUGGCCGAUUCGGCUCCGUUUUUUUGUUUUUCGACAGGCGGUGGGCUGCCUCUGGGCUCCAAAAACUGGGACUCGCACCGGCCCCAACUCGUUGCUGGGCCAGAGGUGGUCCGAGGUGAGAGCCCAGUACGUCAGGGGCUGGGGUUACAGUCCAACCGUCAACAGCGGAAACACAGAAGCGCCGUUUUUAAACAGCCGAGCGAGCAGCAGUAAUGUUCAGCGUUUGUGUUUUAAAAAUUGGUAAAUAUAGAAGCAAAAUCCAAGCAGCAACGGUCUGAGGAGGAGACCCAAAGCUUCCUGGAACUGUGGUCUUCAUAUGAAAUUCAGUGGAAGUUAGAGGGAGCCUCUUGGACCACACCAGUGUUCGAAACAAUCCAGUGGGAGAUGGCUACAGCUGUACGAACGGAGCCUGACUAACUCCUCAACAACUAAAAAGUUCAGAAAUGACUACAAGAACCAGAAAAGGCAGCUGGGAUGCAGCAGUUUUUGGCCAAAAAGAGCCCCAUUUUUUUCCGGCUGCAUUCCAUGAUUCCAACCAGGUCCCUGAACGCAACAGCUGAGCAGAAGUUGAUGCAGGCCGCAGUACCGAUCAUGCUAGUUGUCGGCCUAGGAUGAUGAGGUCCAGUUACCAGGAUCACUACUCUGCAGCUUACUGGUUCCGUCCUGCAGCUCCGUCAUGCUGUCCUCCUCGCUACAGACCAAAUUAAGAACCAGGAUGCUACUGUGGAUCUGCUGCAGUAUCUGGAGACGUCAGAGGAACGGUUCUUGGAACAGAUCUGAAGACACCGAGACCUGACCACUGCCAUGCUCCAGAACAUCCAGAGGACGGAUGAAAAUUCAAACACCUUGGCUGGAGUGAUGGGACGUAUGGUGUCGGUGCUGGAGCGACUGUCACAGAAAUAAACUGCAUUGUCCACUAUUCCUGCCUUUUUUAGAAAAAGUAAUCAUAUUUUUUUAGAAAUUCUUUUCCUUCUUAGCUAUUUAAGUACACUGGUAUUUUACUCUUGCACUUUGGGUGAAUACAAAUAUAUUUGUGAUGAAA